rnacentral:rRNA from 1 species
AUUGAACGCUGGCGGCAUGCCUUACACAUGCAAGUCGAACGGCAGCACGGGAGCAAUCCUGGUGGCGAGUGGCGAACGGGUGAGUAAUAUAUCGGAACGUGCCCAGUCGUGGGGGAUAACGCAGCGAAAGCUGUGCUAAUACCGCAUACGAUCUACGGAUGAAAGCGGGGGAUCGCAAGACCUCGCGCGAUUGGAGCGGCCGAUAUCAGAUUAGCUAGUUGGUGGGGUAAAAGCCCACCAAGGCGACGAUCUGUAGCUGAUCUGAGAGGACGGCCAGCCACACUGGAACUGAGACACGGUCCAGACUCCUACGGGAGGCAGCAGUGGGGAAUUUUGGACAAUGGGCGCAAGCCUGAUCCAGCAAUGCCGCGUGCAGGAUGAAGGCCUUCGGGUUGUAAACUGCUUUUGUACGGAACGAAACGGCUCUUUCUAAUAAAGAGGGCUAAUGACGGUACCGUAAGAAUAAGCACCGGCUAACUACGUGCCAGCCGCCGCAGUAA